AGCAGUAGCCACGGUAAUACGUAGGUGGCAAGCGUUAUCCGGAAUUAUUGGGCGUAAAGCGCGCGUAGGCGGUUUUUUAAGUCUGAUGUGAAAGCCCACGGCUCAACCGUGGGGGGUCAUUGGAAACUGGAAAACUUGAGUGCAGAAGAGGAAAGUGGAAUUCCAUGUGUAGCGGUGAAAUGCGCAGAGAUAUGGAGGAACACCAGUGGCGAAGGCGACUUUCUGGUCUGUAACUGACGCUGAUGUGCGAAAGCGUGGGGAGCAAACAGGAUUAGAUACCCGUGUAGUCCCUGUCUCUUAUAC
rnacentral:rRNA from 1 species